CGGAGAGACAAGAGACAGAGUCGAGGUGAGCUGUGUUAAAGCUGACCGUCAACCAGCCGCAGAAGAUGGCAGCUCUUAAGAUAGUAUUUCUUUGCACCCUGUUCCUGUUCGUCACGGCACUGUGCAGUCCGAUACCAGAACCAGGAGGUUCCGGCGGAACACACGAACAUUACAUCAUACACGUGCCGUAUGAGGUGCACACAGUCCACCACCACCACGUGAAGAAGGUUCCCGUGUACAUCAAGAGCCACUACCCUCACCAUUACGACGGCUGGGUUUGAAGAAUCGAUUUACUAUAAGUUACCUUCUUAACUCCGCCAUAGCGCUGUCUACUCUGUAUCACGCCACUCAUCCAAGUGUUCC